rnacentral:misc_RNA from 1 species
CAAGAGAGAAAGAGAGCGAGAAAGAUGUAUGGAGGGAAGGGAGGCUAUAAGGACAAUGACUGCGAUGAGACGAAGAGGGAGAAAUGAAUAAGAAGGAGUGGUUGUGACUGUAAGAGCGGGAAGUCGAUAUAGAAAUCUAUUUGGUUAUUAUUUUUUUCUGUCGGUAUUUGCAAUAUGCUUAGUCGGUGCGUUACCGUUUUUAUGUUGCUGUUAUUAUUUUAGUGGAUGCAUCGUUCGGCACGUAUUUUGCUAAUCUCAACGCAGGAUUUGGAUAUUCAUUUAUAUUAUAAUCGACGAUUUUGAUAUUUUAAAGUUAGCCUGACAUGUUCUAUAGUUGGAUGUACCCCAUCUGUAACCAGUAUUGUCCAAUAUGAAAAAUAACAGCAGUAAUCUUCAUGACAGUGUUGUCAUUGAAGCUACAUCCUAUAACAAACUUCUCUCUCAAUUUGAAGAAAUUGUAGCAUCUUCGGAUUUUUCACCAGUGCAAGAUUUAACAAGCGCAAAGACCUCAAGUAUUUCAUUAAUACCUACAAGUUUCCAAAAUAUUACAACAUACAAAACUGAUGGCGUUUCCCAUCAAGCUCCAACUAUUACUGUAUCUGCGACUAGAAACGAAAAUUCUCUUCCAAGAAAAUUAUCACUAGUGUCUAAUGGUAUUGUAAAAAAAUUAGUUAAAAAUAGACAUGGCAUUUCUGUGUCUUCAUUACUCAGAGAUCCUAGAGUCAGUAAAAUGAAGCUUGUAACUGAUGUGCAGUGCAAUGGUACCAAUGCUGUUAAUGGCAUAUCGAAUCAAAACCAAGUUAAUGUGGCAUCAGUUACUGAUGUUGAGAAUUCAGAUCCACUCCAGUCAAAUGUGUUAAAGCCUGUCAGUUCUAAAUUGGCUGGAAACCAAACAAUUAAACCAAAUAGUGAAACUAACCAAACUGGAAUCUCUGCAGUAAAUGAUACAAAAGACUCUAUACCACCAAUUGUUCUACCAGAAUUAUCUAUUACAAGGCCAGUUAAAAAAAGUGCUUCAACAGAUGAAUUUCCAGAUUUACUGAAACCUCAAAAUUUAACGAGAUAUGUCGAAUUAAGUUCAUUAAAAAGUCAAGAUAAUAAUAAUAAUAACUCUUCUAAGAAGCAAACUAUCCAGUAUAGGCCCUAUUAUAGUCAUUUAAGGGAUCAUGACUACACACUUAAUUGUCCUAGAUUUAUUCCUAAAGAAAAGAGUACUACUACUACUACUACUACAUCAACAAAAAGGUCAUUUAUAAUUCCAAAGAAAAAGAAAAAACUUAGUGAUGACCAAUGCUUAAAUAAUUCUGUGAGCAAUAAUUCAAACAAAGACUCAGAUAACCCUAAUACGCAGGAAUAUUUUUCUAAUGAUCCACAAACUAAUAGCUUAAAUCUUGAAAAUGAAAAUUCUAGUUCUCCAAAUAUACAGACAGCUAAUUCAACAUCUUCACCCCUACCUGUUAGUUCUGAUGAUACAAAGGACGUGCUUCAUGAAGAAAAACGAGAAACAGCUGAAGUCUUUGAAUCUGUUGAAAAACAGAAUAUAUCGUCUUGUGGAUUAAGUGCCCUACAUGAUUAUGUUAGCAGUGAAAAUCCAUUUGAUUGUCGAAAUGUCGACAAUCAUGAUUUUCGUACUUGUGAUAUGUGUAAGGAUUUCUUCCCGAAACCUAAAUCUGGUGAGAAAUGCAAUGAUGAUGUUUUCCCUGAUGUUGUGCCCUGUCAGAUGUGUUGUCACUUAAGUGAAGACAAUUUGACUGCAAACUAUGUAAAACAUUGCAAUGUGAAUAGUCCUCUCGGUCACUUGAAUCCCUGUGGUUUGUUGUCUUGUCCUACAGAUGAAGCAAUCAAUGCUUGUAUUUUUGAUUAUCCUAAUGAUAAAGAAUUGCGGAAGAUUUCUUCUACAGACGUUGAAGGGAUCUUAGACUCUGACAUGUUAGAUUUUACUAGUUUAAAAACAAUUGAUCAGAACCAUUUUAAUCUCAAAAAUUCUCUGGAUUUGUUGAUACCACCUUCUUUAAGACACAAUCAAAAAACUUAUGAAAAUUUCUGUAACUUUCCUAAUGAAAUAACAGUAAAUGAAAACAAUGAUAAUCUAAAAGAAAGUAUUUUAAAUGAAAAUGAUUUUUUAUUUAUUUCUGAACCAGUUAAAACAUCUGUAGAUAGUUCUUCAACAAUAGAAAUUAGUGAUCAAGCAGUUAAUGAGAAUACAUCUAAUAAUGAAAACUCCCCCAUGGAGGAGGAUCCUGAUGAAAAAGAUAUGAGUAUAGACGAAGGAUCAGAUGAUGAUGAAGUUCUGUUAAAUAAAGUGCCAACAUAUUUAAGUGGGCUAUCAACAGAAGCAAUUAACAACAAAUCUAAGAUUAGUUAUCAAUCUUAUAUUGAUAAUGGGAUUGAUACAUCUGACUUUAUCAAAGAUCCUUCUCCUGAACAUGUGACUGAGCUAUGUAAGAUCCCAGCAUACCAUCAAUCUUUCAGCAAUAGUACAAAGUAUGAUAUAAAUUCCUCUUCUCUGGUUCGUAAAUAUCCUUGGAGUGAAAGAAGAAAAAGUGCGAUACGUCAUCAUCAGCAGUUUGACUCCGAUUGUGAAACUUCAAAAAGUUGUCUUUCAUCGUCCAGUUCACCAUCACCUUCUGAUUCUCCAACUGAAGAAUUUCCAAGCUGGUCACAGUCAAGUUCAAGGUCAACGUCUCCCAGUAGUGAUUCUAGAAGUGGUCAGUUUUCCCCAUACAGUGAUUACACAUCAUCACGGGAUCGAUCCCCAUCACCAUUCUCGCAGCAUCGAAGUACAUAUUCAUUACAGAAAGUUUCAAGACAAAAUCGAAAUUAUUCUCGUAUUCGUUCUCCUUACAGAUAUUCUAAUCAUCACAGAUCUAGACGGCGAAGCUCUCUGACAAAUAAGUACCAUGACAAAGACAUACAUCAGGGAUAAUUAUGGAUUUGUUACAUUUUAUCACCAAAGUGAUGCCUACCUUAGUAUGGAUGCAACUAGUAAAAUAAAAGAUUUUCCAUUUGAUGUUUGUUUUGGUGGAAGGAGAACAUUUUGUCAGGAGUCUUAUGCUGAUCUUG